GACAGAGGGUGCAAACGUUGUUCGGAAUUACUGGGCGUAAAGCGCGUGUAGGCUGCUCAGAAAGUCGGAUGUGAAAGCCCUGGGCUUAACCUAGGAAGUGCAUUCGAAACUUCUGAGCUUGAGUUCUGGAGAGGAAGGUGGAAUGCUUGGUGUAGAGGUGAAAUUCGUAGAUAUCAAGCGGAACACCGGUGGCGAAGGCGGCCUUCUGGACAGUGACUGACGCUGAGACGCGAAAGCGUGGGGAGCAAACAGG
rnacentral:rRNA from 1 species